rnacentral:tRNA from 1 species
UACCGGUCCGCCGGGGAUUGGUACCGGUGCGCCCGGUAUCGGUACCGGUCCGCCGGGGAUUGGUACCGGUGCGCCCGGUAUCGGUACC